rnacentral:rRNA from 1 species
CAGCCGCCGCGGUAAUACCGGCGGCCCGAGUGGCGGUCACUUUUUUUGGGCUUAAAGCGUCCGUAGCCGGGUUGGGAAGUCCUCCGGGAAAUCUGGCCGCUUAACGGUCAGAAUGCCGGAGGAUACUCCCAGCCUAGGGAGCGGGGGAGGCCGAGGGUAUUCCCGGGGUAGGGGUGAAAUCCUAUAAUCCCGGGAGGACCACCUGUGGCGAACGCGCUCGGCUGGAACGCGUCCGACGGUGAGGGACGAAGGCCAGGGGAGCAAACCGGAUUAGAUACCCGGGUAGUCCUGGCGGUAAACGAUGCGGACUUUGUGUCGGACAAGCUAUGAGCUUGUCCGGUGCCGGAGGGAAACCGUUAAGUCCGCCGCCUGGGGAGUACGGCCGCAAGGCUGAAACUUAAAGGAAUUGGCGGG